rnacentral:rRNA from 1 species
ACGCUCGACACCUACGGGAGGCAGCAGUGGGGAAUAUUGCACAAUGGGGGAAACCCUGAUGCGGCGACGCCGCGUGAAGGAAGAAGUAUUUCGGUAUGUAAACUUCUAUCAGCAGGGAAGAAAAUGACGGUACCUGAGUAAGAAGCACCGGCUAAAUACGUGCCAGCAGCCACGGUAAUCUGAGCGGGCUGGCAAGGC